rnacentral:rRNA from 1 species
UACGUAGGUGGCGAGCGUUAUCCGGAAUGAUUGGGCGUAAAGGGUGCGCAGGCGGUCCUGCAAGUCUGGAGUGAAACGUAUGAGCUCAACUCAUGCAUGGCUCUGGAAACUGGAGGCCUUGAGUGCACACAGGGAUGCCGGAAUUCAUGGUGUAGCGGUGAAAUGCUUAGAUAUCAUGAAGAACUCCGAUCGCGAAGGCAAGUGUCCGGGGUGCAACUGACGCUGAGGCUCGAAAGUGCGGGUAUCAAACAGG